AGUGAACGCUGGCGGUAGGCCUAACACAUGCAAGUCGAACGGCAGCACAGUAAGAGCUUGCUCUUACGGGUGGCGAGUGGCGGACGGGUGAGGAAUACAUCGGAAUCUACUUUUUCGUGGGGGAUAACGUAGGGAAACUUACGCUAAUACCGCAUACGACCUACGGGUGAAAGCAGGGGAUCUUCGGACCUUGCGCGAUUGAAUGAGCCGAUGUCGGAUUAGCUAGUUGGCGGGGUAAAGGCCCACCAAGGCGACGAUCCGUAGCUGGUCUGAGAGGAUGAUCAGCACCACUGGAACUAGGACCCGGUCCCAAACCCUCAGGGAGGCAGCGUUGGGGAAUAUGGGACAAGGGGCGCAAGCCUGAUCCAGCCAUACCGCGUGGGUGAAAAAGGCCUUCGGGUUGUAAAGCCCUUUUGUUGGGAAAGAAAAGCAGGAGGUUAAAACCCCGCUGUUCUGCCGGAACCCAAAAAAAAAGCACCGGCUACCUUCGU
rnacentral:rRNA from 1 species